rnacentral:rRNA from 1 species
AUGCUCUCCACGGCCACCGUAGCGCCAUGGAAGCGACUCUGCAAGCUCGUAUCCAACGGACACUACCAGGAAGCGCUCCUCGCCUACUCUCGUGCCCACGCGUCCAACCUCCGUCCGGACGCCUUCACCUUCCCCUGCCUCCUCAAGUCCUGCGCCGCGCUCAAGGAUACCCCCGCCGUGCUCCAAGUCCACGGUCACCUCGCCAAGUCGGGCUUCUCCUCCUGCCCCUACACGGCCACCGCCCUAACGAGCGCCUAUGCCAGGCUCCUCCGUCUCGGGGAGGCAUGCAAGGUGUUCGAUGAAAUGCGGGAAAGAAACGUGCCCUGCUUCAAUGCUCUCAUCGCGGGGUUCUCGCAGUGCGGAAAGGUUGAUGAAGCGAUGGGUGUAUUUAGGCUCCUCGGGAAAGAGGGGAUACUGCCGGACUCUGUCACAGUGGCGAGUGUGCUACCUGCGUGUCGGGCCAUGGAGCAAGGGAAGCAGCUGCACGGGCUUGUAGUGAAGACCGGUGAUUGUUUGGAUCGCCAUGUUGCCACAUCCCUCAUCACAAUGUACUUGGAUUGUGGUGAUUCGGAUGGCGCAAGGAGGAUUCUUGAAUUCAUGGUUGAUAAGGGCGUCGAGAGUUACAAUGCAAUGGCUUCUGGACUGUUGAGGAAUGGUGAAGAUUUUAUAGCUUUGGGUACUCUCAGGGAAAUGAUAUUUGGAUCCAGCGAAAAACCUAAUGAGGCUACUUUGCUGGUAGUCCUCUCAACGUGCACUAGUGUGUUGGCACCAUCACUUGGUAAAGAGGUCCAUUGCUAUGUCCUGAAGCAUGCAAUGGAUUGCAGUAUCAAGAUCAGGACUGCACUCAUUGACAUGUACUCAAAAUGUGGUUCUCUGGAGUGUGCUUACCAGGUUUUCUCUGCCAUGGAUGAGCGGAACUUGGUGACCUGGAAUACGAUGAUCUCAGGUUUUCUGAUACACGAGAAGCUUGCAAACGCCUUAGGGUUGUUCCAACAGCUGAGGUUGAAAGGCUUCAGCCCUGACAGUAUUACAUGGAAUCUGAUGAUUAAUGGGCUUGCACAUCACCAGAAGUUUGCUGAGGUUUUCUCAUUUUUCAAUAAGAUGCGGUUGGAGGGAGUCUCAGGUGCAAGUCUGGAAACCAUGACAAGUAUGUUGAGUGCUUGUUCAGCUAUGUCAGAUAUCAAGCAUGGGAAGGAAAUAUAUUGCCAUGUUAUUCGAACAAUGCAACACUUUGAGGAUGAUGUUUUCCAGACAACAGUGAUUGACAUGUCUCCUUCGAUGGGGGAUAUGAUGUUGGAGGCCGGUGAGAGCGGCCAAAAAUGGUUGACAAUUGUAUGGGCUCUGUAG